AGCGAACGCUGGCGGCAGGCCUGACACAUGCAAGUCGAGCGCCCAGCAAUGGGAGCGGCAGACGGGUGAGUAACACGUGGGGAUCUACCCAAUGGUACGGAAUAACCCAGGGAAACUUGGAGUAAUACCGUAUGUGCCCUUCGGGGGAAAGAUUUAUCGCCAUUGGAUGAACCCGCGUCGGAUUAGCUAGUUGGUGAGGUAAAGGCUCACCAAGGCGACGAUCCGUAGCUGGUCUGAGAGGAUGAUCAGCCACACUGGGACUGAGACACGGCCCAGACUCCUACGGGAGGCAGCAGUGGGGAAUAUUGGACAAUGGGCGCAAGCCUGAUCCAGCCAUGCCGCGUGAGUGAUGAAGGCCUUAGGGUUGUAAAGCUCUUUCGCCGGUGAAGAUAAUGACGGUAACCGGAGAAGAAGCCCCGGCUAACUUCGUGCCAGCCGCCGCUGUAACAC
rnacentral:rRNA from 1 species